rnacentral:pre_miRNA from 1 species
UUUUUCUUUGUUUCCAACGAGACGUGUAUGCCUAUAUCGCCUAGUUCUUUCGAUAAUAAUAAUAAAAAAACGAUUAGUAUAGGCAUACACGUCUCGUGGGAAACAAAGAAAAAG